GCCAGACUCCUACGGGAGGCAGCAGUGGGGAAUAUUGCACAAUGGGGGAAACCCUGAUGCAGCGACGCCGCGUGAGUGAAGAAGUAUUUCGGUAUGUAAAGCUCUAUCAGCAGGGAAGAAAAUGACGGUACCUGAUUAAGAAGCCCCGGCUAACUACGUGCCAGCAGCCGCGGUAAUACGUAGGGGGCAAGCGUUAUCCGGAUUUACUGGGUGUAAAGGGAGCGUAGACGGCGAUGCAAGCCAGAUGUGAAAGCCCGCGGCUCAACUGCGGUAGUGCAUUUGGAACUGUAUGGCUGGAGUGCAGGAGAGGCAGGCGGAAUUCCUAGUGUAGCGGUGAAAUGCGUAGAUAUUAGGAGGAACACCAGUGGCGAAGGGGGCCUGCUGGACUGUAACUGACGGUGAGGCUCGAAAGCGUGGGGAGCAAACAGGACUAGAUACCCGUGUAUA
rnacentral:rRNA from 1 species